CCUGCAGGUGGCUGCAGUGUAGGCCGCAGAGAGGUGGGAGUCUAUGUCUACGCUCAGUGUUCUGACCUAUGUACAUCUGAAUGAUUAACAGCCUACCAUU
ensembl:snoRNA LOC120100451 small nucleolar RNA SNORA17